rnacentral:rRNA from 1 species
UGCCUACGGGAGGCUGCAGCAAGGAGUUUUCCGCAAUGGGCGAAAGCCUGACGGAGCAACGCCGCGUGGGGGAUGACGCCCUUCGGGGUGUAAACCCCUUUUCUUGGGGACGAAGCAGUGACGGUACCCGAGGAAGAAGGCCCGGCUAACUACGUGCCAGCAGCCGCGGUAAUACGUAGGGGCCGAGCGUUGUCCGGAGUUACUGGGCGUACAGCGCGCGCAGGCGGCUCGUCAAGCCUGACGUGAAAGCCCCCGGCUCAACCGGGGAGGGUCGUCGGGGACUGGCGAGCUUGAGGUCGGCAGGGGCUGGUGGAAUUCCCGGUGUAGUGGUGAAAUGCGUAGAGAUCGGGAGGAACACCCGUGGCGAAGGCGGCCAGCUGGGCCGGACCUGACGCUGAGGCGCGAAGGCGUGGGGAGCGAACGGGAUUAGAUACCCCGGUAGUCC